rnacentral:tRNA from 1 species
GUGGCUGUGGCUCAGUGGUAGAGCACUCGCCUAGCAUGUGUGAGGUCCUGGGUUCAAUCCUCAGCACCACA